UUCGCCGGGCGCUCCCCCUCCCCCCCCCCCCCCCCCCGAGCACGAUGCCGCGCAGGAAUGUGAAAGGCUCCCGCCCGCCGCCAUUUUCUUUCUUUCUUGGCAGGCAGCGAGCGGGGCAGGAGGCGGCGGCCGAGCGAGCAUGGCGGACUACUCCACCGUGCCCCCUCCUGCUGCGGGCGCGCCCGGGGGAGGCGGCGGCGGAGGUGGAGGAGUGAACGAUGCCUUUAAAGACGCGCUGCAGAGGGCUAGGCAGAUUGCAGCAAAAAUUGGAGGAGAUGCUGGUACAUCAAUGAAUUCAAAUGACUACGGUUAUGGAGGACAAAAAAGACCUCUUGAGGAUGGAGAUGGCUCUUGGACAAGUCCGAGCAGUACAACACACUGGGAGGGAAUGCCCUCUCCUUUUAAAGAUCAACCAGAUGCUAAGAAAGUUGCUCCUCAGAAUGACUCUUUUGGAAAUCAACUACCACCAAUGCAUCAACAACAACGGUCUGUGAUGACAGAGGAAUACAAAGUUCCAGACGGGAUGGUUGGAUUCAUAAUUGGCAGAGGUGGAGAGCAGAUCUCACGCAUACAGCAAGAAUCUGGAUGUAAAAUACAGAUUGCACCUGAUAGUGGGGGCCUGCCUGAAAGAUCCUGUAUGCUAACUGGAACACCAGAAUCUGUUCAAUCAGCAAAAAGAUUACUUGAUCAGAUAGUUGAAAAGGGAAGACCUGCACCUGGCUUUCAUCAUGGUGAUGGACCUGGAAAUGCAGUCCAAGAAAUUAUGAUUCCAGCAAGUAAAGCAGGAUUAGUUAUUGGUAAAGGUGGAGAGACGAUUAAACAAUUACAGGAGCGAGCAGGUGUCAAAAUGGUCAUGAUUCAAGAUGGUCCACAGAACACUGGUGCAGACAAGCCCCUUAGGAUAACUGGAGAUCCUUAUAAAGUUCAACAAGCCAAGGAAAUGGUGCUGGAGUUAAUUCGUGAUCAAGGUGGCUUUAGAGAGGUGCGCAACGAAUAUGGGUCAAGAAUAGGAGGAAAUGAAGGGAUAGACGUACCAAUACCACGAUUUGCUGUAGGUAUUGUAAUUGGAAGAAACGGCGAGAUGAUAAAAAAGAUACAGAAUGAUGCUGGUGUUAGGAUCCAAUUUAAGCCAGAUGAUGGAACAACUCCAGAUAGAAUAGCCCAAAUCACAGGGCCUCCUGACAGAUGUCAACAUGCUGCAGAAAUUAUUACAGAUCUCCUUCGAAGUGUUCAGGCUGGCAACCCUGGUGGACCAGGACCUGGUGGUCGAGGAAGGGGUAGAGGUCAAGGCAACUGGAACAUGGGGCCUCCUGGUGGAUUACAGGAAUUCAAUUUUAUUGUUCCCACUGGCAAAACUGGAUUAAUCAUUGGCAAAGGGGGUGAAACUAUCAAAAGCAUAAGCCAGCAGUCUGGUGCUAGAAUAGAACUUCAAAGAAAUCCUCCACCUAAUGCAGAUCCAAACAUGAAGAUGUUUACUAUCCGUGGAACACCCCAGCAAAUAGAUUAUGCACGGCAACUUAUAGAAGAAAAGAUUGGAGGUCCAGUAAAUCCAUUGGGUCCACCUGUUCCUCAUGGACCCCAUGGUGUUGUUCCUGGCCCACAUGGACCUCCUGGGCCACCAGGUCCUGGUGCUCCCAUGGGACCAUAUAACCCAGCUCCUUAUAAUCCAGGGCCUCCUGGCCCUGCACCUCAUGGUCCUCCAGCCCCAUAUGCUCCACAAGGAUGGGGAAAUGCUUAUCCACAUUGGCAGCCACCAAAUCCGCCAGAUCCAGGCAAGCCAGGAACAGAUCCCAAUUCAGCAGCAUGGGCAGCUUAUUAUGCUCACUACUAUCAGCAGCAAGCACAGCCACCACCUGCAGCCCCUCCUGGUGGACCAGCUACAACCCAAACUAACGGACAAGGAGAUCAACCAAAUCCAGCACCAGCAGGACAGGUUGACUAUACAAAGGCAUGGGAGGAGUACUACAAAAAAAUGGGUCAAGCAGUUCCCGCGCCUGCUGGAGCUCCGCCAGGUGGUCAGCCAGAUUACAGUGCAGCAUGGGCUGAGUACUACAGACAACAAGCAGCAUAUUACGCCCAGACAAGUCCACAGGGAAUGCCACAACAUCCUCCAGCACCACAGUGCCUUCCCAGACCUUCCACCUUAGGUUCUGCUGCAAAAAAGCAACAGGUAAGCACAACCUAAGGAAGUAUAUAAAUUUAAAUAUUUCAGUACAUUAAUGUUGUCCCUGUGAGAUCUUUGUGGUUGUGUAUUGAAAAGCAAUCUGCUGCUUUCCCAAAUGCAUUGUUACUCAUGGUUCCAUUUCAGUGGAAAGUAUUUUAAGUUUUUAAACAACUGUUUCUAUUUCUAGGUAAAUAUGUAUCUUUUUUUUUUUUUUUUUUAGAAAAGAUGAGUAGAUUGCAUUAAUUGAAGUUAAGCAAAAUAAGUAUUUUUUGUUACUUUUCCUCAAAUAGUUACUUGUUGCAAUUAAAGAAUCAAAACCUUUAAAAUAUGCAGGAAUUACUGUGGUUAGAAACUUCAACAGCCUUCACAAAUGUUUUUAUAGUAGGGCACUGUUCUCGCUCAAACACGUAAGACUUAAAUAUAAAGAAUAUAACUUCUUGUUGUUAUCACUGAACUUGAUAACUUGUCUUACAGUUACAGUGUGUUAGUGGAAUUUUUAGAUAAAUUAGUUUGCUUAUUCAUACUUGACGUGGUAGGAAAAUAGAUUCUGGAGUUUCACAGAUUAGUAUGUUUUAUUUGGAAAAGCAUGUGCACCAGUUAAAUGUUAACAGUACAGCAAAUAAUAUUUUAUCUACAUAGCAGUCAGUGUAUCCUGUUUCUUGAUACUUUAACUGAAUUGCUGUAUAUUUUGAUAGUUUAAAAUGUUUGUAUGUCUUAUAGAUGGUCUGGUACAGGUUUUUGUUUCUUUUUUUUUUUUUAGCUUAAAGUAAAGCAGCAUCUAUUUGUUUGUUGAUUAUUCUGUUUCUAAAAUGUGCUGCUCCUCUUUCAAAAGUCCUGCUUAUCUGUACAUUAAAGAAAAAUAUUCAAAAAUACUGCCUUCAUUUUCACACACAGUGCUGAAGAUGCUGCAAGCACCAAAUCAUAGCUCAUAGAAUCAGGUCCUGAGAUAGUUACUACCAGUAAAGAGGAAUCCUUUGAGUGUAUGCCAUUGGUGAGCCGAUGAGCAUGGACCAUAGAAGGGCUCCAUGUAGAAGGUAAAAUUGGCAAAAACAUAACAGAUUUGAAAUGUAUCCCAUACGUAAUGGUGUAGGGUAUAAUUUUUGUUUUGAUCACUUUUCAUUCUUUAAAGUAUUAUUUGUUUGACCAUAAAUGUUCCAUAAUCUGUUAAGUUUUUUAAACUGUGACAAUAAUAAUAAGCAAUCUAUUUUAAUUUAUAUUCUUCUAAACAGCCAAGCUUAGAUAUAUUGACUUUUUGAACUAAAUUAAUAGUUGUGCUUCAGUUUCUCAAGCUACUUAAUGUAUGAUGGUCUGUAGUUUAAUGUGUAACUUGACUUCGUUUUUGACACAAGAAAAAGUUAGGUGUGUCCCAUUUGGAUUUUGAUUCCAUGAAUUUAGUGUUGGGGUGAGUCAUUUGUUCACUUCUUUUUACAUGGUACUUUUUUUUCUACAACUGUUGUUCCUAAAAUGUAUUAACAGUCUUUCAAUUGGUAAGUUUAGCCAGUGGAAGGAAAUAAAGAAGAAAGCCUGUUUUUUGGAAUGUUGCUAGGGUGCAGAAGAUGAGUUUCUUACCUUAGUGUGUAGCAUUUGAGGUGUAUUGACUUUCAGCUUUCUCACUGAUGGGCUACAGGCAUGCUGUUUUGUACUAAUCACAGAGUUUAUUUUUCAACUCUCUCCAAAUUCUUAGUUCUUGGGAGAACAGAAAAUGCAUUAUUGGAGUUACCCUGAUCCAAAAAGAUGAUGGAAUUUUCUUAGGAAUGUAAUAAAAGCUAUCUUGAAAUGUUUCUUGCUUUUUCCCCCUUAGAAUCUCACAAAUUAGGUAGAAUGUGAAGAGUAUAAAAAGUUCUGAAAGGAAGCAUAAAGUUCAAAGUAGGAAAAAUCUUUUCAUAUAGCUUUCUGCAGCAUAUACGUUAAUAGGACAUGAAGUAAAAUGUCGGGUGGGUAAUCUUCAACUUAACAUGAUCACAGGUCACCUAUUUAAAUUGACCAGGCAGACAGGAUCAUUAUUCAACUCGCACAGCCUAUCUUGACAUAUUUCAUUGUUUUUUCUGGUGGUAUUUUAUUGGAUGAUAGAAACUGUUUCUCCCCUGUUCUAUUCCAAAGUGAUUUUUAAGUUUUCCAUUGCAUGCUAAGAGCUUCUUAUUUUGCUUUUUUCUGGAAAUGGUGGGAGGAAGGGAGGACCCCGGGCCUUUCAGAAAGCAUACAGUUGACAGGAUUCCCUCUUCCCUAGUAAUAGCUUAUGAAACUCUUAUGUGUGCACAAAUAUUUCUCUUGCGUGCAUGUGAAAUGCAUUUUCGUCCUGAGAAAAGUGUUCUCUGCAGAAACUACCCGUGUGUAAAAAGAAGAUUGGCUUUAAAAGGCAACUGUGAUGGGAACAGUGUCUUAGGGAGAUGCAGCUUGGACUUGAGGCAUUUAAUCAUCACUGAAGAAAGGGAAGUGAGAUUCUUCACUAUUGCUUGUCUCCAGUAAAUACUAUCCACAAAGAGAAGCCUAUGGUUUGCAAACUGCAAUCAAGAACAAAAGAAUGAACUAUCUUCAGAAUAUGUCGUGGAGUACUUAAUUUGUUAAUGGUGGAAAUUGACUGGGAACUCUCAGAGUAUCCAGCUAUCUGCUUACUAAAAGCAGGCCAGGGACUGGUAUGUUGGGGGAAUUACAGGAAUCUUUUAUUUGGAAUUCGUAGGGUAAAAGAAAGAAUUGAAGGAACUCAACUUCUGAACUGUUCCUUUAAGAAAACUUUUGACUUCAAAUUUGGACAACCACUGAUAAAACUGCAUGGUAGAAAAAGACCAUGGCGGUGUCUUGUUUUUCUAUUGAAUUUGUAAAUUCAGUUGUCACAGUUAUAUUACUUGGUUAAUAAAUGCAGAUAUUGAGGGGUGGGAAAUGUGAACAAAACUUCAAUUAGAAAUGCUACAGUAACUUCACAAAGUUCUCUCUCCUUCAUUUUCUUUCUUCUUCAUCUUCACUAGUAUCCACUAGGAACUAGUGGAAAGUUAGGUGAUUUUUCGGGGUGGGUGGGAGGAAGGGGUGUAAACUAUGAUUUUGGGAUCUGCUGAAACCUAGAGCCCUCUGUUUGGACCAGUUGGGAAUUUCAGUGUUUCAGCUUUCUGGAUGUUCUGUGGGGUCGGUUUGUUUUCCCUUGCAUAUUAAUUUCUGGAAUGUUCCUGAAAUAUAGUCAAUAUAG